UCCUGAUUCCAACGCCGGUGCUCUUUCCACUGUACCACCCAGUUGCCCCUGAGAUUUUUUUUAGGGGGAGAGGAUUAUCUGCUACUUCUGCAGUAUUUCCAUCAGAGUCUCCCUUCAUGAGUGUGGAUAAUCGAAAAUUAGCUUGUUUCCUCAGUCAUGAAAUGAAAGAGUAGAGUGGAAGAACUCUGAAGUCUUUUCUGGCUCUAAAACUGUUUUGUAAUCCUGUGAUGUGUGCUCUCUCUCUCUCUCUUGCUCUCUCUCUUUCUCUCUCUCUUCCUCCCUCACUCCCUUACCUCCACCCCCCUUCUUUUUUCUGUUGUUUCUUCAAGGAAGCUGAUAUUGUACAACAUACAACAUUAGAGCAACAUAAAAUGAUAAAGCUGGAUAUUUUAUUUUAAUCUGACUUAAAUCAGAUAUAUGUAUUUUACUCUUCCAAAUAUAAACUGUGAAGUAGUCUGAGUAGAAGAAGAAUUACCAGUGGUCAGAAUAGCUGGUUCUUGGCAUUUACAGAGGGAAAAAGUAUUUGAAGUAGGAAAGUACCAUCUGAAAUUAUUUUUUUUUACCAAUAAACAUUUAUUAGAUAUUUUUUAAAAAUGAUAAAGCUGAAAGAGACUUAAGACAUAGAAUAUAACAUCAGACCUAGAAGAGAGCAUAGGAUUCAUUUAUUUAAUCCAAUUCUUUCUAUUUACAGAUGAGGAAACCAAGGCCCAAGGAUACAGAUGUGACCACACAGCUAACUUCUCCUCAAUCUCCUUGCUUUACGGAGGAGGGUCUAGGCUGGCUUAGAAUUUCAUUCCCAUUUGCAUGUAAAUGGUCACACAACUCAUCUAAUCAUGGAAAGGAAGAGAAAGAAGAAGAAAGGGAGAAGUGAAAAUAACUUACCUCUAUGGCUGGCCAGGAGUGACAAGCAAUCUCUGUGUAACUUCCAUGAAUCCAGCAGUGGCUAGGUGAGAGUAUUUUUCUAUACUACCCCAAGCCAAAUGUAAUGACAAGAGUUCAAGUGACCAGGAGUCAAGCCACCAAUGAUCUAGUCUUCACUCGACCAUUGACUUGCUCUGUGACCUUGAGC
rnacentral:lncRNA from 1 species